rnacentral:lncRNA from 1 species
CUUCUCGUCUGUCGCCAUGUGAGAUGUACCUUUCACUUUCCUCCAUGAUUGUGAGGCCUCCUUAGCCACAUGGAACUUAUUUAAGUCAACAGAUGGAAGAGUGUCAUGGAAGGAAAUGCUGGAGUCCUUCAUCCGAAUGGUAAAUGGCACUUGUGACAAAAAUCAAAGUAACUAAAAAAGAAUCUGGUUGAAACCUCAGUAACAGUUGGCCUGUCUACUGCCUCACACUAACAAGGGGGAGCUAAUAAAACCGAGGUUAGAACACACAAUGUGGAAAUGAAAACCUUAUUCUUGUCAAUGGAUGGAGGGUGGUGACCCCCACCUUUACAAGUGUCUGUAAUUCUCACUAGCAGUAUAUUAGAGGGCAAAAGAUUUGAACAGACACAUCAGAAAAGAAGACAUACAAAUGGCCGCUAAGCACUUGAAAGGAUUCUGAACACCAUUAGUCAUCAGUGAAAUGCAAAUUAAAGCCAUAAUGAAUGGCGCUAUACAUUUUCAGAAUGGCAAGGAUUGAAGACCGAAAAAAAUCAAGCGUUGAGGAGAGUGACAAAUGGGGAGACAGCCGUGGUGCAUGAUCGCCGAAUAAAUACCAUGUGAGGAUACAGCAAGAAGGUGGCCAUCUACAAGCCAAGGAGACAGGCCUCAGAAGAAACCAACCCUUCUUACACCCUGGACUCAGACUUCUAAUCUCCAGAACUUGUUAAUGCACAAGGUCUUGUGUUGAAAAUGUAGAGCCACGAGAUAAAAGCAGCUUGGAUGGCUGACUCAUAUACAAGGACAACUGCCUGAGAGUCACCAGGGCUAUCAAGAAGUUUGCAGAAACAAGAAAUAAACUUUUACUGUUUUAAA